GAAAAAAAUGGACUUGGUGGGUCUUUGAAUUUAAAUAAAAUAAACAUGUAUAUGCAACACAAAAUAUUUAUAUUCCUUGUGUAAACAUAAUUUAAUUGAUUAGGAUGAAAAUGUUUUGUUUGAAUGUAAAAUGAACACAUUAUUCUCACAUUGAUUAAAAUUGAUUGAAUUGAAUACUUAAAGCAAUAAAAUUGAGUUUGCACACAAAAUGGCACCUCCUGAGCAGAAGGUGGCAGUAACGCUCAAUAAAAAGGACGUCAAUCGCCAUAAAAGAAGAAUAAACAUCGUUUGUUUUGGGCGCCAAAAUGAAGACUCAGCAGCAGCAGUCAGUCAGAAGAACUCUCUCAGACGGACACCACGUUAUUAAAGUCCAUCAUCCUUGCAUGCACUACACACUCAAAAGCAUUGAUAAAUGCUGAAUUUAAAAGAAUCACUACUGUCUUAUGUUCCUGCGUGUCACCUGGACCUCCAAUCCAAAAACCUGACGAAACUCUUCUAUCAGAAAGGAGGACAGCUAGCAAAAAGACUUCAAACAAUGAAUGAUCAAAUGACAGAAGGCAUGGAUGAAGUCAGCAUCAGUGUGGUCAUUUGAAGACACCACUGUUGGGAUUUGUGCUCUCAAACAACAUGCUUCUUGUGAUGAAGAAGAGGAUCUUUGUAUAGUCCUGGAAGGCAUGAAGGUGUUGCAACAUCGUGCCAUGUUGUUUGAGCUGAUGUAUGCCUUAAACCUGAGCUAUCCUGAUCUCUGCUUUAUUUUUGAAGAAAUCCAAAAGAUUUUAAUGGAACUGCAUUGAGCGUAACUUUAACGAACAGUUUCUUUCAGUGAAAGGAUCAGAAAGACUGUGCUGCUCAUUUAUGUUCUUUUUAUUUAUCUGUUUUAAGUGUUUUUUCUUAUUAAAACAUUAACAGUUUGCUGCUCAGAGUUGAUUUUGGAAAUGGUUGUUGUAUUUUGUUUUUGUUGAAUCUUUGAUUAUCAGUUUAUACAAAUGCUGUAGCUCUGACUUUCUGAAGGAUUGAUAUUUUCCAGUUUGUAAAUCCAUUUAAAAAAUAAUAGUACUUACUGUUUUGCAUGUCUCUUUGGAAUGCAGUGUUUGUGCUUUAGCACUUCUAAAUCUACUGUGAUAGUAACUAUUUUAAACAUUUGGGUCAGUUUUACAGAUGGGGCUUUUUCUAGUCCCAGACUUUUGCAAUGCCUUAAUUUGAAAACAUAUUGCACUGACAUAUCUUGACAUAUAUCAGUGCCAUUGUUUUGUCUCAAGAUGUACUCCAGUGUUGUUUUUGUAAGGUACAGUAGGUUUGUUUGUAAACUUUUUUGUAAAAAAUAUCCUAAUAUAACUAGGGCCUAGUCAUGGAUUAAUCUACAACCUGUUUGGGAAAUUGCCCCUUUGUAUGUACUGCAUGUGCUGAUUGUUGUAAUAGUAAGUGACUGUUAUUGAAUUAAUGUGUAGUGAUUUAAAUGAAUUGAUGAUCUGAAAGCAGUGGUUUGCCUCAAUAUCACUAAACUUUUGUUUAAAACUCUUUGCUUUUUAUGCCAAUGCAAAUGUAUUUUGUAUUUAAAAAAGAAAUAAAUAACAUUUGGAUAAUUA